AGCGAACGCUGGCGGCAGGCCUAACACAUGCAAGUCGAACGAACCUUUCGGGGUUAGUGGCGGACGGGGGAGUAACACGUGGGAACGUGCCUUUAGGUUCGGAAUAACUCAGGGAAACGUGUGCUAAUACCGAAUGUGCCCUUCGGGGGAAAGAUUAAUCGCCUUUAGAGCGGCCCGCGUCUGAUUAGCUAGUUGGUUGAGGUAAUGGCUCACCAAGGCGACGAUCAGUAGCUGGUCUGAGAGGAUGGUCAGCCACAUUGGGACCGAGACACGGCCCAAACUCCUACGGGAUGCAGCAGUGGGUAACCUUGCGCAAUGGGCGGAAGCCUGACGCUGCCAUGCCGCGUGAAUGAUGAUGGUCUUAGGAUUGUAAAAUUCUUUCACCGGUGACGAUAAUGACGGUACCCGGUGAAGAAGCCCCGGCUAACUUCGUG
rnacentral:rRNA from 1 species